rnacentral:rRNA from 1 species
GACGAACGCUGGCGGCGUGCCUAAUACAUGCAAGUCGAACGCAGUGGGGACGGGUGAGUAACACGUGGGUAACCUCCCAUCAGAGGGGAUAACACUUGGAAACAGGUGCUAAACCGAUACUGAUGGAUGGACCAGGGGUGCAUUAGCUAGUUGGUGGGGUAACGGCUCACCAAGGCCACGAUGCAUACCCGGUCUGAGAGGGUGAUCAGCCACACUGGGACUGAGACACGGCCCAGACUCCUACGGGAGGCAGCAGUAGGGAAUAUUCGACAAUGGACGAAAGUCUGAUCGAGCAACGCCGCGUGAGUGAAGAAGGUUUUCGGAUCGUAAAACUCUUUUGUUAGAGAAGCGGUAUCUAACCAGAAAGCACCGGCUAACUACGUGCCAGCAACCGCGGUAAUAC